GUAGAUCUAGAUCUACCAGAUUUGGUAGUGUACCAGAUUUGGCAAAAUCUUUGGUUAUAACAAAGAACUAUAAAAUACAUUAUUUUAUAGCUUUUUGGUUAUAACAAAGUUAACAAUCAACUGAUCUGCACUGGAAUGAGAGAACAGGCAAAUGUAACAAGUAUUAUUACGAUCCAUAUUCUAUUAUCGGAUAAGAGAGAUUUAGCUUUUCUGUUUUCAACACAACUGUGUUGAUGCUGAUCGGUUGUGUGACUGUGUGACUACAGCGAUACGGAACGCCCAGUAUUUAUACUAACCCAAAUAUGACGUCAUAAUUUCAAAAUGGCUGACAUUCGCUGGCUGCUGCUCUACGUCAACUUUUAAGCAUGUUUACAUGUAAAUAAGGGUAUGACUGCAACUAAUAAUGAAUUGUAAAACUAUUUACGGAUAAGUGCUAUCGAUUUAACGUAAUAAUAGAACUUUUAUGAAGUUAUUUAUGAAGCAAUCAGCCUUCGAUGUUCGUACAUAGAACUUUCGUACCCAGUGUCAGGCAAGAUAAAAAAUUACAACAAGGAACAAUUUCAACAAAUGUUUGGAUACCACAGUAUGAUUGUAACACGUGAAUUGAAGUCAGACACCUUACUGUACCACCAUGCAACAGUAUCAUCUAUCUUCCGUAACCGCCGAACCCCUUUCGGUGACGUAGACUUUGUUCGUCAGUAUAUAGAUUUUUUAUGGUUUGGCAGAUUCCCUAGAGAGUUGCAUUGGGAAGUAACAGUAAAGCAGAAUACCUACAGUCCAUGAAGUUGAGAAAUGAAGAAAUGCAGCUCUGAAUUGUUUAAUACGGUGUGUGGGGAAAACAUUGUGGAUAUGAAGCAUAGAAAUCAUGUGUCAAUUUGAAGUAACAGUAACACAGAAUGGCUGGAGACCAGUUACUUAAGAACUGAAGAGAUGCAGGUCAUUGUUCUAUAUGGUGAUUGGUGGAACCAUGAUGCAGAUUUGAAUUUAUAAGGUGUGAAGUUACAGAAAAGCAGAAUAGCUACAGACCAUGAAAUUUAGAAAAUGAAAAGAUGCAUGUCUCAGUUCAGCAUGGUGUAUAUGGGAAACAUUGUGUAUGGCAGACCUCUGUUCAACAUUGUGUAUAUGGGAAACAUUGUGGGUCACAGACCUCUGUUCAACAUUGUGUAUAUGGGUGGGUCGCGGACAUGAAAUGAUUUGUGUGAAGUAACAGUAAAGCAGAAUGGCUACAGACAAUUAGUUCAGAAUUGAAGAAGAGAUGCAGAUCUUUGUUCUAUAUGGUGUAUGAGGGAACCAUGGUGGAAAUUUGGAUUUCAUGGCAGUCAUAGAAAUAUCUAAUAAGUCUGUUCUACAGUGAUGGGUGUACCAGUCUGUCAGACUUCUACCUGUCUGUCCAGUCGACAAAUUCGCAAUAGAUGGGUAGAUUCUCAAACAAUUUGGCAGAGUUUUCACAGUUACUACGACAGAUUGCAAAAAUGUUUGUACCCAAAAACCUGAAAUGAGAGCGUUUGGACAAUGUGAAGUUUGUCGCAUAGACUGGGAUUGACUGCCUUUGUAUAUAUAAGUCUACAACUUCUCAGAUUUGACCGAAGACAAUUGUUUGGUGUUGUGAAUGGAGAAAUAUAUGAGGUAGGGCAGUUUUCCAUAAACACAACAAGAAGUUCACAUUUGUUGCACAGAUUUGUGUCUCUCAUGUGUGGAGUUGAAGGAAUUGUUAUAGGAAAAGUCUACAGAAUAUGUAAGGAUAUGGAUGGUUAGUUUCUGCAGCAAAGAGUAUCAAAGAAGCCAAUGUUGCCAACGUUACAGAUAGUGAACCCAGCAUAAAGAUGUAUUACAUCACAACGUUAUAUUUUACAUUUACGUCACUGACGUCAAUAGAAUUCGGAAACGUGUUACCAAAUAACAACGGCGAAAAAAUAUUCUCAAUAUUCGCUGUUGUGCUUGGAUCACUGCCGAGUGUAAACGGUGAGAGUGUAUCAUGAGACAGAUGAGUAGCACGAGAAAAUGAAGAGUACUAAAGAAACCAAAACAUUCAUCAUCAUCCGAAGAAUCUUGCAAACUGAUUGCACGAGUUUUUCCUACACACCUGGGCGUACACUAAUGGAAUUGACAUGAACAUGAUAGCCAAACAUCUUCCCGAGGAUUCCAUGUUGUAACAUUCUGAUAGAAAGAUGUACCUGUUGUGCAAAGGGGAUAAGCUUGCUUGGUGACAGGAAAAAGAAAAGGAAAAUGGUCCCAGGAAAGACAAGCUACAGUAGAUACAAGAUGCUAAGGACAAGAAUGUCUGUCAUUCAUGGAAACAUCAGAGUUCAGCAGGUUCUUGGAACAGGCCAUUUGAAACCAGAGACUACCAGUACAUUUUUGGUGAUCAUUUGACGAGGCCAGUUGUAGUGUUUUAACAUGAGACAGGAAAAAUGUGUUUACAUUUUGCUAGAGGUUACAGGUACAUGUAUAUACUCUGGUUACAGAUUUGCAGUAUCAACCAGCAACCUCAGCCAUUCUAGAUAUAGGAACAACACAAUCAUACAAGCUGGCAAGAUGUUCAAGAGUGGUGACAUGCUGCCCAAGAUUCUAGUCUGGAGAUACCAUCAGUCAUCUUAGAAUGUUUUUUAAGAUUUAAUAAAAAUGUGACAUUGACUUAAGACUACAAUUAUACUGCUUUCAGCCAAAGGCUUUUCUGUGGUUUUUGUUGUUGUUUUUUGGGGUUUUUUUUAUCAACAUUAAUAAUAUCUGUCAUGUGUUUAAGAAUCAGUUAUAAAUAUCCUCAAGAGGGCACCUGCGCAUUGGGUGGUAAUGAGGCUUGCCGAAUUACCGCUCAUGCGCAGGUGGCCGAGGGACAGAUAUAUCCAUCCGAUUUGUAAAGACAUGACUGAUAUUUUUUCUUGCAUAUCGAAUACAUGCUACCAUUUUAAUCGGCAGAAUUUCUUGCAAAUUUUAUUUUACAGAUAAGAGCUAGAAAUACUUUCUUUAUAGCACUCUUUCUUACAGUAGAGAAUGAACACAAAGCGCAGGAAAUUAACGUCCGUAAGCAGAAGUGACGUCAUGAUGUUUUGCGUUACGCACAAUAACAAUGUUCCACUUUAGUUUAAUUGUUUGUAGCGUAAUGUUAUGUUCUUACAGUAAACUAAUGUAUUUUGAAUCGAAGAAUAUACUAUAAGGAACUGAGAGAUACUUUCGAGGUAACUGCUUUUUUCGUAUUUUAAAUAAUAUAUUAUCAGUGCUUGAACCACUACACUAGUUGGUUUAAACUGUAUUUAUUUCCACAAAUUGUAUACACAAACAUGAGUACUAUAUUCAAAUUAACAAAGUUUGAUAAAAAGACAUACAUCAAUCAAAAAAGUACAAACAAACAAAGAAAUUUUUAAUCAAAUGGAAUGGGAAACAAGCUACUUCCAUUCGAUUAAAAAUUUCUUUGUUUGUACUAUUUUGAUACUACACUAGUUGUCAUUAACAGCACGAGAGUCAUCUGGCAUGGGGGGUGCCAGAUGGGUUUUGCCGGCAUGGGUAAAAUCACCGGAAACGCCAGUCCGAUGUGCAAGAAAUUAUCUGGAAAAUAACUGUAUUGAGACAAGUUUGUAUGUCAAAAUAAAACAAUGAAAAAUA